rnacentral:rRNA from 1 species
UACGUAGGGUGCAAGCGUUGUCCGGAAUCAUUGGGCGUAAAGAGCUCGUAGGCGGCUUGUCGCGUCGGCUGUGAAAACCUGGGGCUCAACCCCGGGCCUGCAGCCGAUACGGGCAAGCUAGAAUUCGGUAGGGGAGACUGGAAUUCCUGGUGUAGCGGUGAAAUGCGCAGAUAUCAGGAGGAACACCGGUGGCGAAGGCGGGUCUCUGGGCAGUAACUGACGCUGAGGAGCGAAAGCGUGGGGAGCGAACAGG